UUUCCGGUAGACGAUGGGGAUGCGUUCCAUUAGAUAGUAGGCGGGGUAACGGCCCACCUAGUCAACGAUGGAUAGGGGUUCUGAGAGGAAGGUCCCCCACAUUGGAACUGAGACACGGUCCAAACUCCUACGGGAGGCAGCAGUGAGGAAUAUUGGUCAAUGGGCGAUGGCCUGAACCAGCCAAGUAGCGUGAAGGAUGACUGCCCUAUGGGUUGUAAACUUCUUUUAUAAAGGAAUAAAGUCGGGUAUGCAUACCCGUUUGCAUGUACUUUAUGAAUAAGGAUCGGCUAACUCCGUGCCAGCAGCCGCGGUAAUACGGAGGAUCCGAGCGUUAUCCGGAUUUAUUGGGUUUAAAGGGAGCGUAGAUGGAUGUUUAAGUCAGUUGUGAAAGUUUGCGGCUCAACCGUGAAAUUGCAGUUGAUACUGGAUGUCUUGAGUGCAGUUGAGGCAGGCGGAAUUCGUGGUGUAGCGGUGAAAUGCUUAGAUAUCACGAAGAACUCCGAUUGCGAAGGCAGCCUGCUAAGCUGCAACUGACAUUGAGGCUCGAAAGUGUGGGUAUCAAACAGGAUUAGAUACCCUGGUAGUCCACACGGUAAACGAUGAAUACUCGCUGUUUGCGAUAUACGGCAAGCGGCCAAGCGAAAGCGUUAAGUAUUCCACCUGGGG
rnacentral:rRNA from 1 species